GCUUGUUAAAAAGAGUAGCUAAUGUCUUUGAAUUUGUAUAAUCAGCUUCUUGCGGAUUGUUGUAUUUUUGAAAUGUCAGAUACCACAUGAGAAUACUUUAACAAUUAAUUGCAAAGCAAAUUUUCAAGUCUUACAAAAGAUGCAGGAUUUUUUAAAGUUUAGGGACGUGACAGUGGAAUAUGAUGCAAAUUCAUUGUCGAAUAAGAUGCUAACAGUGAAUCAAUUGAGGAAGAUCAAAUCAUCAAGGAUGAUAAAACAAGAAGGACAUAAGUGAUGAUUAUUGAAGGUAAAGCAGAGUCCUCAAAUAAACUGAUAAGGCUCACAAAUAUGAUGG
rnacentral:lncRNA from 1 species